UUCUUCUCCUCCCUUUCCGAACCUUCUUCUCCUUUCUUCUUCCCUUCCCGAUCCCCUCCUCCUCCUCUUCUCCUCUCCUCCCAUGAGGCAAGGGGGUUGAGCUCGGAAGAAGGUCGACCCGAAGCCGGCAGCGCCUGUGGCCAACCAGCGGCGCCUGUGGCGGCCGUGGUCCGACCGGCAGCAACCGCGGCCCGGCUGGCCGCUCCUUUCCUCCAUCUCUGGUGGGGGAAGAUGGAAGCUCGGGCACCGUCGAGAGGAAGGAGGGCCUCAGUCGCCCUGAUCCUCCCUCUCCAAAGUUCUCGACUACCGGAUCUAGGACCACCAUCACCGGACUUUUUCUUCUCUUCAUCCUUGACCUCUCCUCUUCUCCUCCUUCCUCGGUGGGAGAAAUGGAGCUUGAGGUCACCUACUGAGAGGAAGGGUGAGAGGAAGAUUUAAGGAUGUAUUGAGGCUGGAUUCAUGGAGUGCUAGGUUAGGGUCAGACUAAAAAUGUGAAGGAGAUGAUCGGGAGGAGGAGGGUAUUCGGCUGUCAACAGCCAUGGUCACAACUGUGGCCGAUCGUGCCAACGCCGACUCAGCGGCCGAACACCACAGAUCUAAGCUAAACAGGAUACAAAUCAUGAGGGGGAGAGGGGUUUAAGGUUUUACCUUGCUCCGAGGAGGAGCCGAGCAGCUCUUCCGGUAGCUUGAUCGCUUCCCCCGGCGCCUCAGCCUCCUACUUCGACGGCGUCGCUCCCAAUCCGAUUCCUUAGUAACAGAGAUGGGAGUGAAAGGUGGAGGAAAGGUAAGCAAUGGAGUCCCUCAGUGAGCAGGAGUAUGUGGGUUUUAUAGACCUCGGCGGGGAGGGAGAAGUGGUGGUGAUUGUGGCUGUCAGGCGGUUAUAACCGCCUCAACAGUUGUCGAUCUCCACCGCCAUUCCUCCCAAGUUUCACUAGUGACUGUAAAGAACUAAUUGCAUCAUAAAAUUUGAAUGAGAUUGUUUUCACUAUCA